rnacentral:lncRNA from 10 species
UGCGAAUUCGGAGUCCCGGUUCCCUGUGCCACCUGGCGAGCUCAGCAAACUAAAAGUCUCUUUGUCUUCAUCGUUUCCGGCACUGAUGUGAGCACAUCAUAAGCACAAGACCUGGACACCUUUACAAUCAGAGGGCCUAGGACUGGAGCUCUGGAUCUGACCGGAGCAAAGAGGAAGCACGCAAAUCCGGACAUGACGACGAGGAGGCAGUAGAGACCCAUCCUCAACUACCCCCUGAGUGCCGAUCCCACCUGUGAAAGGGGAGGAGCAGAUCUGGGGAAGGGAUAUGCCCAGAGGAAAUCAACAAGACCAAAGAGACGUCAGAGUCCUGAUGGCCAAAAUCAGACACCAGCUUUCCUGAGAAGGCAGAAGAGAGAGCCCCAUAGAAGCAGUGGGGGCUCAGAAGGUUCAGUGGGUUCACAGGGGAGCAGAGGCUCCUGAGGGCUUACUCAGACAGGAAGCAGCCCCCCAAAACAUACUUCCCCUUCUCCUCCCACAGAAACAGAACAGAUAAAGUUCAGAAUUCUAGGCCCAAAAGGGUGCAACACCCUUCAACCAGUUUCAGUGAAGAGCUUGCUGGCCUGGGAAGUAAAGAAGGGGUUUCCAAAUACAGCAGUUUAUAAAACAGUCCUGGUGAGCUAUGAAGUGAAAGAGGGGGAGUCACAGAGCUGCUCCCAGUUCACCUGCUUGUGCUAAGAAACAAUAAAAUACAAAUUGCUUCCCCACCCCAACCCUCAGUACAAAGCAAACUUCACACCAGAGCCACCAUCAGUGACAGGCCCAGUGGCGGUGGAUGAGGAAGAGAAUACAAAAGGGAACGUCUUUAAAAUCUCUUCAAAAUCAUUUUGUAUAGAGAAGUAAAAGCAACUCAGGCGAUAUGAAUUCAAACCUCAGUGUAGAAAUCUAUCAAAGUCGGUACAGUGUCCAGGCACGCCGUCCCGGAGACGGAGGAAGUGACUAGAAAACAUUAUUGCUGGAGAGGCUUUUCUCAGUAGAACAAGAGCAGGUAUAAAAGGGGAGGGCGGGUCUAAAAGGCAGGGGCAGUCGCCAGGCCUAGGGCACUGGAAGGGUAGGAGGAGCACAGAGAACCUUCCAUGGCCCCUUUGGUUCUCUGCCUUUGGAUGGAUGGAUUUAUGCUGGCAUUGUCUGGAGGGAGCCGGGUGUCCCCCAAUAAUCACAGAACAAAGACAAUUAGGUCGGGGGAGGAAUAAGGAUAAAAAGAGACCCCAACAGACCCUGCCUGCCCUUCCCUGCCCCCCGGCUGCACUGCUGAAAUAUGAGGAAGAGAUGGCUCCAGUGUGGGGUGCUGGCCAGGCCAGUUCGUGGGGACGUACAUGGGCUGGGGUGGAGCCCCCAGCCUCUACCCCUGGGGAGGAUGGAGAGUGGGCAGCCUAGGGAGAGCUACAGGAGGGAGGAGGGGGCCCAGAGGCUCUGGCAGGGGUGAAGACAAGCAGGGGGACCCCUCACGGCCCUCUGUCCAUCCCGCACCAGCGGAGGACAAGGGUUCCAGUUUCAGUCGGGUUUACCCCUUCACCCCCGGGUGAAGUCUCUAGGUCACAGUCGCAGUUGGGGAUGCUGGCUGGGGAAGGGGGGCAGAGACAGGGGCAGGGCACCUAGCAGAAGAGCUUGAGGAAGCAGUUCUGACAGUAAGGCUUGUCGUUCUGCUCCUUGAAGGUGCCCUUGUUGAGCUGCUUGAGGCAGAAGGCACAGACGAAGUGCUCGGGGUGGAACUUCUUGGCCAUGGCGGUGAUGCAGCGGCCGGUGAUGGGCUUCUGGCAGCCAGAACACAGCGAGCCGCGCCGCUCGUGGUAGUGCACCUCACAGUAGGGCUGCCCGUCGUGCUCGAAGAAGCUGCCGUUCACGAAUGGCGUGAAGCAUUCCUGCCAGGCGGAGAGAGGGGCUCAGGGAGCUGCCCCUCGGGCUAGAGCUGCACCCUGUGUGAUGGGGCCGAGGUGGGCAUAGUCGGCACGCUCGGAGUGACUCCUACUUGCUAGGCGUUUCCCAUGUGCCGUGUUGUCCUAAACGCUCAUUUUUCAUUUUUAUUUUAUUAAAUAAAUUUUUUUUGUAGAGAUGGGGGUCUCACUAUAUUGCCCAUGCUGGUCAAAUGUGGCCUCCUGCAAUCCUCCCACCUCGGCCUCCCACAGGGCUGGGAUUAUUUAGUUCUCCCAACAGGGGAGGCAACUGAAGCACACAGGUGAAGUAACUUGCCCAGGGUCAUGCAGCUACUGAGGUCACAGCCUGGAUUCAUACACAGGUCUGACUCCUGAGCACUUAGCCAGGUGGCUGUAACAGUGUUCCCAGAAACACAGGUGUGACACUGGUCUGUAGUCAAACUCUGCCUCCUAGAUUCUCAUUGGAGAUUCACAUCACAUAUAGGUAGAAAAGGCUCUGAGAGGGGCCGGGUGAGGUGGCUCACACUUGUAAUCCCAGCACUUUGG